GGCAAUUUCAAAAUAUUUCGUUUGAAAUUGGAGUCGAAAGUUUUGUGUCUAAAGAGUUUCUAAAGACAUUUAUGCAGGUAAUUGAUCUAUCAAUCAAAAGCCCCCUCCUGUGAGUUAUCGUUCGCUGAUUGGCUGCCCGCUAUGACACUUCCGUCGAAAAACGACUUCGUUGUGAUGACAUCGGACUAUUAUGAAUGAAGAAUGGAAAGAUUUCGUUUGCCAUUUGGAUGUGUGUGUUUGUUUUUCACCUGGGGUACAAUAAAUUUUGAAUAAAGAAAUUUCGGAUUUCAUGGACUUGUAUGGACGUCUAGACACUUGAUUUUGUUCGUGCGCUUGUGGAUUUUUGAAAGUUUUUACCAUUUAAUCGUGGAUAUGUGGAUACAUUGGUUGAUAAGUGCGCCGAGCUAUAUGGAUACAUGGAUACAUAGGUUGAUUCGUGCACCAAGACUCGUGGAUACAUGGAUAUAUGAAUACAUUGGUUGAUACGUGCAUCAAGACACACGGAUACAUGGAUACAUUGGUUGAUACGUGCAUCAAGACACGUGGAUACAUGGAUGCAUUGGUUUAUUCGUGCGCCAAGAUACCUGGAUAUAUGAAUACAUUGGUUGAUACGUGCUCCAAGAAGAUUCUAAAUUGUUAUCUUCAUUGAUUUAUUGCGGGCUGCAAGAAUAUUCGUCUUUUCCUCCACUUUACCGAUCGAUUUAGUGUGUGGCAUUAUGGGAUGUAUGCAUUUUAUGUGUGUAAGGACUGGCAACGAGUUACCUCCUGCUGUCAAAUUUCAUGACUUGAAAGGUGGAAAGGUGUUUUGACUAGACGUAUGUGAUGUUGGUUCUAUUUUGUUUUGUCUAAAGUCAUGAUGUCUUUUGCAAUAAUCUGGAGGUUGAACGCAUAUUUGACAGGACGGAGCUCCAUCCAAACCACUGAAACAACUCAAUUGAGACAACUCGAAGAACUCGGUCGACUAUAUGAGAGGCAGCCUUUUUUAAUGAAAGGGAUUAUGUCAUGAGCAUUUUGCGGAUCAAUGGUCGGAAGUUGUCGCUACACGAUCACCGUGGAUCAGAGGGGCUGUGAGGGUUACAUGUGAGUUAUCCUCGUUGAUGGCAAAUCGUUAUUUUAAAAAAUAAGAGAUUUUUACUCAGUUUGCACUGGCUUAUGCAAGCGAGUACACUUUUCAACACAAACUCAGCCACAGACCAAUCAUUGUACGCAUGAAACAGUUUAUAUUUCAUAAAUAUACAUAAAUCUUGUAUAUCAAGUUAAAAUAGAAGUUUUAAUGUUUAA